rnacentral:tRNA from 1 species
GGGUUCGGACGGGAUUUGAACACGGGACCUCUCGCACACAAAGCGAGAAUCAUACCCCUAGACCACCGAACC